GGCUUUGUAGCUCAGUUGAUAAAGCGCUUGCCGCUUUGAUACAUGGUAUUUCUGUCGCUGGUUAGACUCCAGCCGAAGCUC